rnacentral:tRNA from 1 species
GCCUGGGUGGCUCAGUCGGUUAAGCAUCUGACUUCGGCUCAGGUCACAAUCUCACAGUCCGUGAGUUCGAGCCCCGCGUCGGGCU